CUCAACUGGAGAUAUCAGACGUUGCGCCUGCUCAGUGAUAUAUUCAACAGCCGCAGUAUUUUGACUGUGCUAAGGUAGCGUAAUCAUUUGGCUAUUGAUUGUAGUCUAGUAUGAAUGGCGGGACGUGGAGAAGCUAUCCAAAUAAUAUCAGUAUGAAUUUAGUAAAUUGGUGAAAAUACCAAUUAAUAAGAAAAAAGACGAGAAGACCCUAGGACUUUUAUUUGAUUUAGUUGGGGCAACUAGUAACAGGCAGAUACUACACACAUCUCAUAACGAAUUCUUAAUUAUGGAUAAAGUACCCUAGGGAUAACAGCACAAUUAAAUAUUAGCUUGUGACCUCGAUGUUGGACUAGGAAACAAUUUGGCCAGAAGACAAAUUGUAUACACUCUGUUCGAGUGGUGAGCUCUCCU
rnacentral:rRNA from 1 species